GUGACACAUUAUCUUGGAAAGCACGGUUGGACAUAAUUUAGGAUGGAAAAUAAAAAUAGUGAGUAAAUUUUCAACCUUACCUAGAGUAACCCUGGAGUAGGUUAACUAACAAAGUAGCAAACUCGUUUCAGAGCUUUCUGGAGUGGUGCCCAGAGGAUACUGACGGAGCAGUGACUGGUCUUCCAGAAAGAGUAAGGAAUGGCCUCGCGCGUGUGGCAGCAGCCGUGCUAGAAUGCUCAUCUCCUGGACAGAGGACUCCCCCUAAGCACACGCAGGCUGAGCAGCCUGGAUGAGAAAGAAGGCCGUUAUAGAAGGGAAACCAACACUUCCAUCAAAAUUAAAGUCAUUGAAAGAAUUUACCCUGAAGUAUUCAAAGGUCUCUACGUCUCUUUGUUCUGUGCCCCAAAUCCACUGGCAACAGGAACCAUUCUCAAGACUGGUCCCUCUUACAGAGUUCCCCAGGACCAUGCUCUGUGUGAAGGAGGAAUAGCUCAUGGAAACCAUAAAAACAGUUAUUUAGUGAGAGAUGGUCCUAUUUCUAUCAAUGCAAUUGCAGCAUAAUGCCAUUAAAAAUGAUAAAUAACAGGGGCGUCUGGGUGGCGCAGUCGUUAAACGUCUGCCUUCGGCUCAGGGCGUGAUCUCAGCGUUCUGGGAUCGAGCCCCACAUCAG
rnacentral:lncRNA from 1 species